CAUGACAUUCCACGAUAUCUUAUUGUACCAAGUCAAUGAACACCAUAUGCAGGUCCGUUUGUUCAAUGUCGUACCAAGAAAAUAGCUUCCAUGGCCGACCUCCCAGGCAUGAAACCAAACUGAUUUUCAAGCAUGCAUGUCAUUCUUCUUAAUCCGUGCUCAAUGACUCUCAUGUAGCUUCAUUGAUGGUUCAUCAACUUAAUUUUACGGUAAUUAGUACAAUUUUGAACAUCCCCCUUGACCCUUGUUCUUUAAGAUUGAUACUAAUACUCCACAUCCAUUCUCCGGGCGUCUUGUUUGACCGAAAAAUAAGGUUGAAAAGCUUAGUUAGCCAUACCAUAGGAAUGUCUCCAAGGCAUCUCCACACCUCAAUGGAGAUACAAUCAAGACGGUCAAGGCCCAUAGCAUUGCCUCCUUUCAUCCUUUUUAAAGCAUCUUUAACCUCAUACUCUUCGUCACAAAGAACCAAGCCCACGCCUAGGGGCGUGCAACCCGUGCGACCGCACAAGCCUCCAAUUUGGGGGCUCCUGUUUUUCCCAAGCACACUUCAGCCAUAUGCCUAGACCGCUAGAAGUGUUGGACCUGCUCUACAGAGCUGGGUUUGUGCGGCUACAUCUAGGCUUGUGCGGUCAUUCACUCAAUCACGCAAACUGCGCAUGGACAACAAUUUGAACCAGUGCCGCAUCACCUCUUCAUCAGUUUGCCAAUCACCAGAUGUUCAUCUUCGUCCAGGCACUAUGGGCUAUCGCGAUCGCCAAUCGAUCCCCCACCCUGCCAGAGUCGUCGUUCCAUCGGUUCGUCGAAGCCCGGUUCCUGUUGACCUUGCAGAUCACAUAGACCACCGCCACAAGAUCACAGGGGCACCGCCACAAGAUACCGGUGCUACUUCUUGUUCGCUGAUGUCGGUGGUCUUCCGGAAAGUCAAAUCAAUGGAUAGGAGCGCGUCGUUGCCAGGCCAGCAGCCGCUGCUAUAAAGGCUGGUCAGAGCUGCCGGACACCCCACCAUUGCUGCAACCGGGGACACCGCCACUACUACAAGCCGGGACCCCCGCCGCUGCUGCAAAUCAGGACGCGAUGCUACAAGGCAGGACACCACCACUACUGCAAGCCAGGGGCCCCGCCGCUGCAAAGACUGGCUGGCGCCUCCGGUGCUGCAAGUCAUGAUGGGACGCUGCAAGGCGGAUGCUACUGUUGCAAAGCCGGACCGCCGUGCUGAGCCACAGCGCUUCUUCGGCGGCUGACGACCGCAGGCUGGGAGGGAAGGGGGAGAUGUCACAAUGCCCAACAGUGCUGUAUACACACGGCGAAGACGCCAACAUGGAGGUGACUUGAAAUUAUAGAGCUGAUUGAAGUUGCUUGAUUAAAGCAGGAACUUUGCAUUGUAGACUUGGAAAUAUGGAGAGGUGGAUGGAGCUUAUUGGAGUUCCUAGAGCUGAUUGAAGUUUUGGAAGCUGGCC